GGAUCAAUCUAUCGGUCGUGCAAUAGUACGUACUGAUUUUAUUGAUUCCUACCUUCUGAUGAACUAUGAUGUCAUUAAUUUGGUGUCAUAGGGAAUCAGGACUGUUACUUUGAAAAAAUUAGAGUGUUCAAAGCAGGCUUACGCCCGAAUACAUUAGCAUGGAAUAAUAAAAUAGGACGU
rnacentral:rRNA from 1 species